AUUGAACGCUGGCGGCAGGCUUUACACAUGCAAGUCGAGCGAGCGGCGGACGGGUGAGUAAUGUCUGGGAAACUGCCCGCUGGAGGGGGAUAACUACUCGAAACAGUAGCUAAUACCGCAUACCAUCGGAUGUGCCCAGAUGGGAUUAGCUAGUAGGUGGGGUAAUGGCUCACCUAGGCGACGAUCCCUAGCUGGUCUGAGAGGAUGACCAGCCACACUGGAACUGAGACACGGUCCAGACUCCUACGGGAGGCAGCAGUGGGGAAUAUUGCACAAUGGGCGCAAGCCUGAUGCAGCCAUGCCGCGUGUGUGAAGAAGGCCUUCGGGUUGUAAAGCACUUUCAGCGAGGAGGCGUUACUCGCAGAAGAAGCACCGGCUAACUCCGUGCCAGCAGCCGCGGUAAUUC
rnacentral:rRNA from 1 species